GCCUGGCUGGCUCAGUCAGUAGAACACGUGAUUCUUAAUCUCAGGGUCAUGAGUUCAAACCCCAUGUUGGGCG
rnacentral:tRNA from 1 species